GUGCUUACCUGGCAGGGAGGCCCUGUGACGCUGAAGGUGGUUUCCCCAGGGUGAGGUUCACCCAAUGCACUCCGGCGUGCUGCCCACUGCGGUGGUUCCUCCCGUCUGGGAAACUCGACCUUGUAAUUUGUGGCCCUGGAAAAACGUGUGUAUGCACUCCC